CCUACGGGUGGCUGCAGUCGAGAAUCAUUCACAAUGGGGGAAACCCUGAUGGUGCGACGCCGCGUGGGGGAAUGAAGGUCUUCGGAUUGUAAACCCCUGUCAUGUGGGAGCAAAUUAAAAAGAUAGUACCACAAGAGUAAGAGGCGGCUAACUCUGUGCCAGCAGCCGCGGUAAUACCGAGGUCUCAAGCGUUGUUCGGAAUCACUGGGCGUAAAGGGUUCGUAGGCUGUUUCGUAAGUCGUGUGUGAAAGGCGCGGGCUCAACCCGCGGACGGCACAUGAUACUGCGAGACUAGAGUAAAGAAGGGGGGAGCGGAAUUCUAGGUGUAGCAGUGAAAUGCGUAGAUAUCGAGAGGAACACUCGUGGCGAAGGCGGGUUCCUGGACAGUAACUGACGCUGAGGCACGAAGGCGAGGGGAGCGAAAGGGAUUAGAUACCCCAGUAGUC
rnacentral:rRNA from 1 species